ensembl:lncRNA
GUGUGUAUGUGUGUGUGUGUGUGUGUGUGUGUGUGUGUGUGCGUGUUAGUGUGUGUGUGUGUGUGUGUGUGUGUGUGUGUGUGUGUGUGUGUGUGUGUGGGAGUUCCUGAUUUAUCAGUCAUUAGAUUCGAGUCUGUCAUUUUAACUCGGCCAUGACGCUCAUUUGUACAACGUGCUUGAGCGAGCUUUCCCUGCUAAACAUCUCAGGCGUGAGACAGGCUGGACGGGGGUUAACUGCAAACACAUGACCACUGUCAUACGACCUCGUUUUAAGGUAGCUGGCUAAGGGAGAGUUUCUGUAGCUCUUUCUUUCUCUUUCUUUCCAUUUCACAGCCUGUGACCACUGCCUCUAGUUACUGUCUCUCUGUGUCGGUGUCUGUCUCUUAUUACCGCCGUCUCUUGCAGUGUGUGUGUGUGUGUGUGUGUGUGUGUGGUGUGUGCUGCUGCUCCGAGUGGAGAGGGAAUAGUGGAGGCAAAGGAUGUCAGUGCAAGAUAAACACCAGCACAGUCAAGUGGCUUUGAGAGAGAGAAAGAGAGAGACAGAGAGAGAGAGAGAGAAAGAGAGAGAGAGAGAGAGAGAGAGAAAGAGAGAGAGGCUGAUCCUAUGAGCUGGCUCUCAUUCCUCAGUUGAAUGUAGUACGAGGAGUUGAGUGUAGUACACAAGCUGUGUGGGCAGUUCACUUGUUCAAUACACCCUCAGUACACGCUUUGAUUUUCCCAAUUCUGCCUUUUCUCUUUGACCAGUCAAUUCUGCUCAACAGUACUCUCUCCUCCUGCAAAAGCACAUUCUGUUUUGUAAUCCAUGUCAAUUCUGCGUAGUGCCUUUUUCUAGAAAAAUCAUAAAAAGCUCUUUGAAGGGGAGAGUGAGGCGGUCGGGAAAAGACACUAACAAAAAUGUCCACCUUCUGUAUGCAGGGAUACUGGUAUUUAUAAUGGGUGGGACCUUUGCCUAGAGAAACAUUUAAUUAAAUUUUAUUGUAGUUAUACAGCACUUUUAAUGAUAGACAUUGUUACAAAGCAGUUUUACAAAAAUUCAGGACAUCCCUCAUGUCCAAGCCAGUGGCAAAGAAAUCCUUCCUGAGAUGACCUGAUGAUUUAAGAAGAGGUUGUCCUAUUGGUGCUACAAGUAUCAAAGCUAUCAGAUGAACUCCAUUUCCUAGAACCAGUGUUGUACAAGUAUUUUGUAUCAUGUACAAACCUUUUAUCAGCCAAGUUUAAACAUAGCAAAUGCUACAUUAUUUAUUCAAUUUUUUUGUUAAAUGUGUUUGGUAAUAAUAUGGUUCCAAUCUUUUCUAAUAUCAGACCUCGCAAUAUGGGCUGAAACCUGAUACUUAUCUCCUACUGACAUCCUCACAGUAAAUGAGCUGAGUGUUAUGUCUCUGCCAUGUUAUGAGAAAAAUAAGAGAUGUUUUGUCUUAUGUUCAUGUUUUGUCUGUUUUUAAACUUCACAUCAAUCCGUACAGGAUUUCACAGAGUUUCUUUGUGAUUGUUGCGGCCAAAAAUCCUUGAUUUUGCUGUGGCUUUUUAUAAAAUUUGCGAUGCAGAAUUACUACUUGAAUCGGCGAAAUUGCGAGUGCACUAAAUUGUUUUGCAAGGUCAUGUUUGUUGGUAAAUGAGACCUUUUAGCUGUACUCAUGUUCGACAUACAUGAAUCCAAGGGGGCUCUGGCUGAAUGCUCAUUGUGAUGAUGUCACAUGACAUGUCUUGGCCCAAAUGUGUGGAAAAUCUGUGUUAAUUUAGAAAAAUUGCAAGCUCCUGCGAAUAUUGCGGUGUUUCCUUGAUUUUGCGUUCAUUUCUGUGAUCACAAAAUUGCAAAAUCCUGGAGGGACUGAUCACAUGAUUUCACUGCUUUAAAUACUUCAGUGGAUCUGAUAAGAAAAUAUGAAAAGGUAUAAAAAUAUGAUCCAGGAUUUCCGGCCAUUAUCGGCAUCAAUAGCAAUCCUACAUCCCUAUUUCUCAUGUAGCUUCGUUUAAUUAUUCUGUAAUGAAUAAACCACGAUGGGAUGUUCUCUUAUAGGAAAAUAAUCAGUGGCAAUUGGUGUGAUGUGGGCCGUUACCACACUGGAUGUUUCCAAUAACAGCAUGUCCUAAAGGGUUUUAUUGCUUUUAUACCACUGCAAUAUGACAAUUAUUACUUUUUUAUUUUGUUAAUGAACAACACAUCAUGCUUUUAACUGAUUAGAACAUCCUUAAGACUUAAGGAUCCUUAAGACCAGCCUCUCUCUAUUUUUCUCUCUCUUGACAUAAAUAAGACAAAGAAAAUAAACACAGCUUGUCAUGUUACCAAAAAACCACAAGAAGGCAAAGCCAUCUGUCCUGAAGUCUCCUGUGGCGGAAAACUUGACCAUUAGAGCUGACACUGGAGACUCCUUCCAUUAGUAUUGGAUAAACAUCUCCUUACAGAAUUAUACAUUUUGAAUUGUCUAUCAUACAGGUCCCUGAAAAUUAGCUGCUACUAUCCAUCCAUCCAUUUUCCAUACCACUUAUCCUAAACAGGGUUGCGUGGAGCCUAUCCCGGGGAACUCGGGGCACAAGACAGAAGAGACCCUGGACGGGGUGCCAACCGAUUGCAGGUCACAACUGCACACAGAUUCACACAUCCAUUCACACACUACGGACCAUUUGGAAAUGCCAAUCAGACUACAGCGCAUGUCUUUGGACUGGGGGAGGAAACUGGAGUGCCAAGAGGAAACCCCUGAGACACGGGGAGAACAUGCAAACUCUGCACACAGAGGGUGGAGGCAGGAUUCAAACCCCCAAACCCAGAGGUGCGAGGCUAACGUGUUAACCACUAAGCCACCAUGCUCCCUAUACAAAUGAUAAUCUUAUUAGAACAAACAUCCCAAACCUGUGAUCUGAAUUAUAGCUGGAACUACUGCAGAGCCACUGUCAUAGAAAAUGAAUCCACACCUACUGGCCAAUCAGAAUUGAGAAUUCAGCUGUGAUGUGGUAUAAUCGUAAUUAGCGGAAGAUCUGAGCAGAAGAUUAGCUGUAAUCAUAGUAACAGUAAUCGUAGAUGUAAUUUUGUGAGUUAAGAUCUCAGUAGUAUACUGUAACUACUUACGUUUCUCUAAACAUUAGCUGUAGUUCAUGUAUUAGAGAAGCCUAAUUCGUAAGUUAUCUAACUACAUUUUUAAGAUCUGAUACCUAAUACGUACAUGAUUCUAUAUCGUCUUCCUCAGUUGACGUGAGGAAAGUGUCGUGUUUUGAAAGUUCAUUUUGCUUGAACAGACAAUAAAACACACUUUUACCUAUUACCAUGUGCUGUUUACUUCCUGCCACACUGUUUGAUGGACAGCCUGUUCCAGGCUUUCAGUUUCGAGCAGUUUGAGAAUGCACUUCUGCCUAAACUAGGCCACAUUGCAUACUCUCGAGGUUCAUUAAAAAAUUUUCCUGUUUGACUGAAUUUUAUGUUCAUUGUGAGCAUGAUCAUCUCUAUUGAUCUUCUUAAAUAUUAGUCUGCAUACAUAUAUACACAUACAACAUAGCCUUUCUACCAAUUCUCACUUUUUCAUUCUCCCUCCCUAUAAGAGGGUAAGACAUCUGUUUGUGAGAGAGGAGGUCUGAUGGCUAAAAUGUUUGUGUGUGUGUGUGUGUGUGUGUGUGUGUGUGUGUGUGUGUGUGUGUGUGUGCGUGCACGUGGUGUGUAAGCAUUAUUUUCCUCUGAGCCUGUGUGUAUGCAUGAUGAGGAAGGAGGGCUGACAGAGAGAGGCCAUAUCAGUGCCGUAUCACACCUAAUUAAUAAAGCCGGUCCGUGCUAAUUAAAAAAAAGUGUGAUUAAUGCCACUGCCAGGAUUUCAUGGCACACUGUGGUGUCGUUUUGAGUCACAGAUCUACUGCCAUGUAGAGUAAGAACACAAACACACACAAACACAUACACACAUCUCUCUGUCAUGAAUAUGAGAGAGAAGUACAGUUUAAAAAAGUGAAAAAUAAAAAUAAAACAAUAAUAUGUUUUGAAAAGAAGAAGCUGCUCAGCAUCUUCAGAGCACUGUAGCCUUGAAACUGCUUAAGAAAUACAAAUCCUAUAUUCUGUUCUAUUCUAUUCUAUUCUAUUCUGUUCUAUUCUAUUCUAUUCUAUUCAGUUCUGUUCUGUUCUAGUCUAAUCUAAUCUAGUUUUGACCAAACUGGGAUAUGCUAGAAAAAGAAUUUCACUGUGCUAUAUUUGUAUAUUUGACAAAAGCCAUCUUUCUAUUCUAUUCUAUUCUAUCCCAGUCUAGUCUAUUCAAUUUAUUGUAUUCUUUUCUACUCCUUGCCAAGUAAUUUCUUGUGAGGAAAAUCAUUUCUCUAUACUGUAUGUGUAUAUCUGACAAUAAAUGCUGUAUUUCUAUUCUAUUCUAUUCUAUUCUAUUCUAUUCUAUUCUAUUCUAUUCUAUGCAACUGUAUUUAGAUUUGUCAAUCUAUCGAUUUCUAUCCUUGAUAACAACCUGGUGUAUGCAAGCAAAAAAUAAUUAAUUAAAAAAAGAACAGAAAAUAAUUUUCUUGUACUGUACUUGUACUAUACGACAAAACGCCUGUCUAUUCUAUUCUAUGCUAUUCUAUUUUAUUCUAUUCUACCCUCAAUAUCCAGCUCCCUAACAAGCUGAAAUAUACAAUGAACAUAAUUUCACUGUAUUGCACUUUUACAAUACAUGUUCCAGUAAGACUUCCGGUGUCUCAUUUCCAUUUGUUUUAUUCCAUUAUAUUCAAUUGUAUUUAAUUCUAUUUCAAUCGAUCAUAUCCUUCAUAACAAGCUGAGAUAUGCAAAUUCAAGAAUGUAUUCUCUGUAUUGUACUUUUCCAUUCUAGUCUAUUCAAAUCUAUUCUAUUUAGCUCUGCUCUGUUCUGUUCAAUUCAAUUCAAUUCUAUUUUAAAUGACCCACACAUUCCAGCUUUGCAGUCCAUUUCUAACCAUUUGUAUACUAUCCUUUUCUGUUCUAAUAUAUGUUUCUCUUUGUUGCUGAGAUUAUUAUAUGUUAUUUAUUGUACACCUAGAAUAUUUUGUAUUUAAUGGUCGCCACUAUUUCCCCUGGGCGUCUGCAUCUCAUAGCUAGCUUGCAUUAUUAAAAGAGCUAAAACAGGGCUGCGGCCAUUAGUUAGUGUGUUAGGAUCUGUGUGCUGGGCAGUGUUUGUCUGUUUCUCAUCGGGGUAAACAUUUGUUCCAGUUGUAGAUGGUGUGCAGCAGGAACAUGAAUCAGGGACGAGGAGCGGAAAGCACUGUGACAGCUGCAGCUCAUUACCAGCACUAUUACUGAUCUAGGGGACUGCUGGGGGAAAUUCCUCCUUCCAAGGAAAGCGUUCCUGUUUACCAUACAGCACUGCAGAUCAGGAGCUGCACACACAGAUGCACAAACACACAUACAUAAGCACACACAUGCCUAUGUUUGGUUGGGGUUUUUUUUUCUUUUUUUUUUUUUUUUACAUCCUACCAUAUGUGAGCAUUUGCCUUCAGUGCUUAAACACUAACGUGCAUCCUCGCUUUCAGUUUACAUUAAUACACUCUCUGUCAGAGUACAGUGUACAGUAUUUACACCUAGCUUUCUGUCUUUUAUUAUUGCACACACACACUCACACACAUAUGCUCCUUCAAUCAGGCACGUCUGACUCAGCCUUGCUGCUUUACGUCAUUUGGCCCAAUCAGGCAGACCUUCACCGGCCCAUUAAAGUGGAAGUCUUUCUGUUUUUCUUGGUCACCUUUUUACAGGUCAAGUAAACAGAAUUAUUUUUGUAAAGAUUCGGUCAUAUCAGCCUCCUUCCUGUAAUAAUCACUACUCCUUCUUCAAAUAUCGUCAUUCUACUGAUAUUUUAGCUUACUUUAAAUUUAUGUUUGAAAAAAUGAGGAAACCGUAAGAAGUGUUUCCAAAAAGAUUCAUAAAGUUAAUUACAAAACGUUAACUUCAUCUUAAGAACGUCCUUUUAAUUAACACACGUCUCUCGUUAAAAAUUCUAAAUGCUUGUAAUAUAAAGUCAUUUGUAGGUUGUUUGUAAAUUAAAAAGUAAAUUGACCCAAUAGUGCUGCUCUGCCUCAAAAAGAAGACAAAGACAAAUGAGAGUAAUUUGGGUAAGAAAACCCUUAAAAAAAAAAAAAAAAAAAAAAAAAACAACCUCACUGAUCUGUUUGCCUAAACUGGGUUAUUAUCAGUACUACUACUACUGUUGUUGUUUUGUGCUUGUUUUGUAGUUUCAGAGUUGUUGUACAUUUUAGUUCACUCUUCACCGAACAAAAAGACCAAUUUAUGUUCAUCAUUCAAAUAUGAGAAUAAAGCUGCUGCUGAUGUGCCAAGUGGAGCUGUUUGUCUUAAUGCUGUGGUGUGAUCAAAUAUAAACUAAUCCACUAAUCCAUCUCAGUGAUGGGGAACAGUAGCGUACCCAGUGUAUUAGUCUUACAAAACCUAAAAUAUGACACUGAUGCAAUCAGGGUUACAUAUAAUUCAUUAAGUCUCCAUGAUUUAUAAGGAGUAUAUAUUUCACAGAAAUGUCUUUAGAUGUCAGGGUUGGGGAGACAAUUCAGGUGGCAGUGUUACCCAGUGCUAACCAUGAAGCCACACCCCUGAUGAUAUGCUAAUAGAGAUAAACAGGGCAAUGGGGGGGGGGGGGUUAAUGUGGGUCUUGGGAGAUAAUGACCCUUCUUGGUUGGGUACAGGAUAAAACUGCAGUGCUUUUGAUGCACCACUAUAACUCUGCCAUGUGCACAGCGACAUACAAAUUUCAACCAGAAUUUGGGAUGGCUAGCAUAAAACAGAAAGCAUAUUAGAACAAACACCUCUUGAAUUUCAUCUACAGCUUCCAGAAAGAAUUCUCAGUAUGAAACUGGACGUGUGACCACCAAAAACUUUUUUAUAAACAUUUUGGCCGGGGAAGUACUCCUGAGAAUUUUAUUUGGACCAACUGCAAUUUUCCUAAGAGUAAAAACUUAAUGAACACUAAUUUGGCUACAGAGUGAAAGUAGAUUUCCUAUACAUGUCUAUUUGCUAUUACCUUUUUGCUCACAGCCCAUAGCUGAGGAGCAUAUUUCAGGGUUCAAAGCAAGGUGAAAGGAUUGAUAUGCAUAUUGGAUGGGAUUUAGAAGAACACCAGAGAAGGGAAACUAAAACACUUGCCUAAUGUGGAAGUCCAGGAGGAAGAGGAGAGAAAUAGAAGAGCAGAGUAUGGCAUUUCCUGACCAGGAUAAGGAGGAACAACACCAGGCUAAAGUGAGUUAGAACUCAGGGAUAAAAGAGAAGCUCGUUGAUCUGUGUUAUUUUUUAUUUUCCCAUAUUUUUGUUUAAACACUAUAAUAAAGUGCUCGUUUUAAGAACAGAGUAAAACAAGAAUAUUCCAAUGUACAAAGUCUAACUUGACUAACAGUGUCAAAAGAAAUCUGUAAGAAAAUAUAAGUGAAUACAUAGGCAACAUUUUACACUCUCUUUAUCCAUUGGGCAAGUUGGAACCAAUAUUAAAGAUCUUACAUAUUGUGCCUCUAAAAGUGACUUGUUUUGCAAGAACUGCUUUUAAUAUUAAUAUUAAUAUCAUUUUUAUUGAUAUCUUCCCCCUCUUCAAACAAAAAUGGAAUGCCAUCCCCCUUUAUUUUUAGGUGACGACAACAUGAGAUUUAGAAAAUAGUUUAACCAAUCCUGCUUCAUCCUGAAAUGUAAUAAAGUUAAGAAAAAGUGGCAAAUUGUUGAUUUUGCGUACAUCUAUAUGCUAGUUAAGAGCACUGUCUAUUGGAUUCCAUUUAUGUUUUUCUCACUGAUCCAUUUUGCCAGACUCUGGCUGGGUGGAGUCACAGAAAUACCUAGUAAUAGGUAAGAAAAGCUUUCGGCAAAACUGCUGUUAAGUUGCUUUAAGACUCAUCUUUUUUGGGAAACACAUCCUGGUUUUAUGCCAUCUGGUUUCAUUAUCGAUAAUCAAAAUAACUGACGCCAGAAUCCUCCACCCUCAGGAAACAAGUGCUCCAAAAAUAAUACUGGCGGCUUAUUCUUAUUAUAGGUGCCUUCCAGUAACUUACUCCCUCUCAAUAACGACACUAUAAACAUUUAAGCACAUACGUCGCUGAUGUAUACUCUCCACUCUACAGCCAACAGUGGCACAGAGGUCCAGGCCAUGAGCUUGGGCCGAUUGCAUUGGGUUAAUGUAUUAAUUUCUUGGCGGCCCUCCAGAAUAACAUAAAUCAAAAGCAGACCAAACAGCACCUUGUGUUUUGAGGGGGUCUCACCCUUUUUGACCUCUGCCAAUUUUGAUCUUAUUUCGCUUUAACUUUGCAGAUCAGACUUUAAUUUUGAAGCAGGUUGGAGGGACAGUGAUGAAUAGGGUGCAUCGCGUGGAGCUUAAAUUACCCUCUCUCUGGUGAUGGGGGAUCAGGAGGUGCAGGCAGCAGCAGGAGGGGGUGAGGGUGGGCCUCCCAUGACCUAGUAACAGACAGAGAAAGAGAGCUGGUCAGCACUUGCCCUCACAACCCUGCAAGCUAGCACACCCAGAGAGAGAGAGAGAGAGAGAGAGAGAGAGAGAGAGAGAGAGAGAGAGAGAGAGAGAGAGAGAGGAGUAGGUCUAAUGAGCAUAUGGAAAAGUGAGGAACACACUUCACUGAUGAGAGGCCCAAGAAAAGUUCAAUCUCAGAGUCUGUGUGUUUCACAUGAAACCUCACUCUUGAAUUCAGUAUUCAACAAAAAGUAUGAGUUAUUUUUGUUGAAUAAUUUGUUGAAUAAUGAGUAUGUGUGCUUCAGUAAAGACAUAAAGCAUAGGAGUUUGUUGAAUGAAUUAUGCCUGUUCCAUUGUACUGGAUCACUUUCAUGAACAUUACAUCUGAGUUAGUAUGAUGCAAUACAGUGGUUAUUAAAGUCACCAUAUUUUAUUUCCAAUAAUGAAUACAUUGCUUGACAUGGUGGUUUAAUAAACAACAGAAACAUGGUAUAGAAGUGCCUAGACUUUUACUCUCAUCAGGAAAUGCAGACUUUAUGGUGAAUGUGGUAAAUGGCAGGCUGGUAUAACAUAGCCUCUAUUUACAUAUUAGAACCUGAUUGGCUCUUUGAAUUUUAUGAUGCAGUAAGACUUGUUUGUCUAAUACAAACUUGAUUUUCCAGUCAGAUUUUCAGCUCCUCUGUUUCACAAUUAGCAAAAAAAAAUUAAAAUAAAAUAAAAAUAAAAAAUAAAAAAUUAUUUGAGCUAACCGGAUGAAUCCCAUUGAAAGAUUUUAUUCUAAAAAAAAAGUUUCAUGAGGAUUAGGGUGACAUUUGAAUUUUGUAAAUGAUUCCAUUCAUGUAUUUCACAUUAUAUGUACACUCAUCAGCCCUACUACUACUACUAGUACUACUACUACCAUUAUUAUUAUUAUUAUUAUUAUUAUUAUUAUUAUUAAGAACAGUAGUAGUAGUGGUGUUGUUGUUGCUGUUUUAAAUAUUGCUGUCACUGCUCUUGCUCUUCAUCUUUUUCUUGUUGUUGUUGUUGUUGUUGUUGUUAUUAUUAUUAUUAUUAUUAUUAUUAUUAUUAUUAUUAAGAACAGUAGUAGUAGUGGUGUUGUUUUUGUUGUUGUUUUAAAUAUCGUUGUCACUGCCCUUGCACUUCAUCUCUUCUUUAUUAUUAUUAUUAUUAUUAUUAUUAUUAUUAUUAUUAUUAUUAUUAAAAGUACUAUCAUCACUAGUAGUAGAGCAGCAGCAGCAGCAGUGGUAUAUUAUGCAUUAGUGUAAAUGCAUGUAAAAAUGCAACAGAGACAUUUGGGAUGUGUGUAAAAGGAAGUAUUUGCUGGAAGCAGAUGAGUCAGUGAGUCAGUGUUUCCCCUCCUCUCCUGUGUGCACCCCGCCGCUCGGCCUCCUUACACACGCCACUAGGAUUAACUGUGCCGUGCAGACGUGCGGAGCGCGAGCGCGCCCCUUCUCCUCCCCGUCCCCGACAAAUCUCCCCGAGGUUUUCAUGUUCUGUCUUUUUUUUUUUUUUUUUCGUUUUCCCCACUCAUCGUCUGCGUUUUUAUUCCCUCUCUCUGGCUUGGGCGAGAAUCAACUGUAUACCAGGUUUCUCAUGGCUCUUCGUACCGAACAGGGUUUCGCGCGCCGCUUUUGGCUCCCGCUGCGCGCGACGCACUAAAACCCGGCUGAUUCUCGGCGUGCGUGGCGCGGAAACCUGCCGCUCUGUGGACGGCCGUAUAGUUACUGUAGAGACAGUUCUUAACAUUUAUGUUUUCAGUACACACGUGCGUUCAAGCAGCUUUUAUUACUCUACAGCGGUCUGUGCGCGUGCGGCCACAGAGCGUGGAAUAUAUGAACCAUAUAGCGGUGCUUACACAUGCAGCCAAAGGCACUCCAGUCUCCCUGCGGAAAUCCUGCAAGUUAGCCAUUAACUAAUAAUUUAAAAUAUGAAAACAUGUAUAGGUUAUUAGCAUGCUCUACACUAACUGCCAAAUUGCCAUUCAGUGUUUAUUUUAAACAACAGGAAAAUCUGCACUAGCCUUACUAACCCAUGCAUUAAAUGUUAUUAUAAUGAUUAUGAUUAUACUAUUUAUUUAAUUUUCACAUGAAGUACAUAGACAUAACUAUAACCCCCCCUCCCCCACCC